AGGGUGUAAACGCUGCAGACUUGGUGUUGGAAGCCCUUUGGGGGCAUUCAGUGCCGGAGAGAAGUUGUUAAGUCUGCUACUUGGGGAGUACGUCCCGCAAGGAUGAAACUUAAAGGAAUUGGCGGGGGAGCACCGCAACGGGAGGAGCGUGCGGUUUAAUUGGAUUCAACACCGUAAAACUCACCAGGGAAGACUGUUACAUGAAAGCCGAGAUGAAGACUCUGCUAGAUUUUCAGAGAGGUGGUGCAUGGCGUCAGUGACU
rnacentral:rRNA from 1 species